AUGUUUAACUCUGAGGGUUGUUCUUCCCCUAAUACCCUUUCCAGUAUCAACAAAGCUCUGUCAAAAACUCCAAGGUCCGCUCUUCAAGAUAUACUCCAUAUCCUUUUUUGUAGUAAACUUGAAAAGGAACAGGUUUUUUCUCAGAUCUUGUAUCUCCACGGUAUUCUUCAACUUCCAAGCAUUCAGAAUUGUACUUUUGAAAGCUGCUGGAAGUGGGGUAGUAGCAAGCAACAAAAGUUUUGGAAAUAUUUAUCCGGGAAUUUAUAGUGUACACAGAGAUUGGUUAUUGAGUUGUCGUUCGAUAAAUUUCUCAUUAAUGA